UACGAAGGGGGCUAGCGUUGCUCGGAAUCACUGGGCGUAAAGCGCACGUAGGCGGAUUGUUAAGUCAGGGGUGAAAUCCUGGAGCUCAACUCCAGAACUGCCUUUGAUACUGAAGAUCUUGAGUCCGGGAGAGGUGAGUGGAACUGCGAGUGUAGAGGUGAAAUUCGUAGAUAUUCACAAGAACACCAGUGGCGAAGGCGGCUCACUGGCCCGGUACUGACGCUGAGGCACGAAAGCGUGGGGAGCAAACAGG
rnacentral:rRNA from 1 species